CCCUGAAGAUACAGACAAGCACUUAAUAUGUCAGUGCUCUGACCUUUACAGAGCCCCCAAGUUGGGGUGACAAAGCAUACCUUAAGUGGCAAAACAGUGGGAAGAAGGAAAGUCUGGACAGUGGCAGUCAGGAUGACAGAGUAUGGCCCUGUUUAUUGGGAGGCCUGAGUGGAGUGGCCAGCACUGCAAAGGAUAAAAACUCAGGUACAGAACCAAAUUUCUUUGGGUAUUGGUUGAUGGAAAUAAUUUAAGGUGGUGAUAUUUAAGAUCCCUAUUGCC
rnacentral:lncRNA from 1 species